rnacentral:rRNA from 1 species
GCGCACGCAGGCGGUCUGUUAAGUUGGAUGUGAAAUCCCCUGGCUUAACCUGGGAACUGCAUUCAAAACUGACAGGCUAGAGUCUUGUAGAGGGGGGUAGAAUUCCAGGUGUAGCGGUGAAAUGCGUAGAGAUCUGGAGGAAUACCGGUGGCGAAGGCGGCCCCCUGGACAAAGACUGACGCUCAGGUGCGAAAGCGUGGGGAGCAAACAGGAUUAGAUACCCUGGUAGUCCACGCUGUAAACGAUGUCGAUUUGGAGGUUGUGCCCUUGACGCGUGGCUUCCGGA